GUUUGAUCCUGGCUCAGAACGAACACUGGCUNGCGUGGAUUAGGCAUGCAAGUCGAACGAGAACGUCCCCUUCGGGGGACUAGUAAAGUGGCGAACGGGUGAGUAACGCGUGGGAAACCUGCCCUUCAGUGGGGGAUAACAGCCCUAACGGACUGCUAAUACCGCAUUCGACCUUCCGGCCGCAUGAUCGGAAGGUGAAAGGUGGCCUCUCCAUGGAAGCUGCCGCUGAAGGAUGGUCCCGCGUCCCAUUAGCUUGUUGGUGGGGUAACGGCCUACCAAGGCUGCGAUGGGUAGCGGGCCUGAGAGGGUGUCCGGCCACACUGGGACUGAGAUACGGCCCAGACUCCUACGGGAGGCA
rnacentral:rRNA from 1 species